rnacentral:rRNA from 1 species
AUUGAACGCUGGCGGCAUGCUUUACACAUGCAAGUCGAACGGCAGCGCGGGCUUCGGCCUGGCGGCGAGUGGCGAACGGGUGAGUAAUGCAUCGGAACGUGCCCAGUAGUGGGGGAUAGCCCGGCGAAAGCCGGAUUAAUACCGCAUACGACCUGAGGGUGAAAGCGGGGGACCGAAAGGCCUCGCGCUAUUGGAGCGGCCGAUGUCGGAUUAGCCAGUUGGUUGGGUAAAGGCUUACCAAGGCGACGAUCCGUAGCUGGUCUGAGAGGAGGACCAGCCACACUGGGACUGGAACACGGCCCAGACUCCUCCGGGAGGCAGCAGUGGGGAAUUUUGGACAAUGGGGGCAACCCUGCUCCAGCCCUGCCGCGUGCGGGAAGAAGGCCUUCGGGUUGUAAACCGCUUUUGUUCGGGAAGAAAUCCUCUGGGCUAAUACCCCGGGGGGAUGACGGUACCGGAAGAAUAAGCACCGGCUAACUACGUG